rnacentral:rRNA from 1 species
GACGAACGCUGGCGGCGUGCUUAACACAUGCAAGUCGUACGGUAAGGCCCUUUCGGGGGUACACGAGUGGCGAACGGGUGAGUAACACGUGAGUAACCUGCCCACAACUUUGGGAUAACGCUAGGAAACUGGUGCUAAUACUGGAUAUGUGCUCCUGCUGCAUGGCGGGGGUUGGAAAGCUCCGGCGGUUGUGGAUGGACUCGCGGCCUAUCAGCUUGUUGGUGGGGUAGUGGCCUACCAAGGCGGCGACGGGUAGCCGGCCUGAGAGGGUGACCGGCCACAUUGGGACUGAGAUACGGCCCAGACUCCUACGGGAGGCAGCAGUGGGGAAUAUUGCACAAUGGGCGCAAGCCUGAUGCAGCAACGCCGCGUGCGGGAUGACGGCCUUCGGGUUGUAAACCGCGUUCAGCAGGGACGAAGCUUUUUGUGACGGUACCUGCAGAAGAAGCACCGGCUAACUACGUG